UGUCCUUAGAAGCAAGACAAGCAAAUAGCAAAACUGAAGUUGUGGAGAUGACAAAAAAAUCAUCACGAUCGAGAGAGAAUUGAAGUCCUAGUUUUGAAUCAAACGUGUAUAGCAUGCAAAGCUGCAUUUUUUUCGUGUCUCUUCACAACUGUCAACUUCUGCUUCUUUCUCUCCAUCUGAUCACCGCUCUAACUUCACUCCUCUCUCUCUGUCUCUCUCAUGUUAAUAUCUCUCAACCUCCGUUUACACUGAGAGUAGAGUCUACACAUUUAUCUUCUAACUGAAUAAAGCUCAAAAUCACCGAAAAGGGACAUGUCGACAAAUGUUUGCUUAGGAAAUUGAGAGGUGGACCUGAAAGAGAGAGACUUUGCAGUGGAUCGCGUGUAUAUGAAAGAAAUCUAUGGCUCAGCGUAUAUGUAGCAGUACUGGUAAUCUGAAGACGUAGGAGAAGCUGUUACAUAGGACUCUUAUAAAAAAAAAAAGUUAUGACAUAGGACCGGCUUAAUCGGCUAGCUAUAUGCCGGUCCUCUCACAAAACUUGAGCCGACCCAUUUGUGCGAUACAGAGUCGCUUACGUAGCAGUACCACUGUAGCAGCUUUGCCAGUUGGUUGCAGUACCGUUAUACAGAUUUUACAGAACUGUUGAUCACAUGUAAGCAAGCUCAAAACUUCCCCUUUAGCAGGCUUUUCUUUUAUUUUUGGCCUAUUACCAAUGAAAACUCUAAACUUAAUCACAAUUUUUAAUUUCGAUAAUAAAAUAAUGGAAUAAUCGAAACGUACAA